GCUCCAGUGGCGCAAUCGAUCAGCGCGCGGUACUUAUAAUGCCGAGGUUGUGAGUUCGAGCCUCACCUGGAGCA